GAGGAGGGCAGUGCCAUGAAGGAUGUCCCCACCUGGCUGAAAAGGCCCUGGCAGCACAACUAUUCACCAUACUUCUCUCAACAUGAGAAUAGGCUGCAAUCACAAGACGUGCCGGCGUGGUUGAAGAGCCUGCGCCUGCACAAGUACGCGCCGCUGUUCUCGCAGCUGACGUACGAGGAGAUGAUGAACCUGACGGAGGAGCAGCUGGAGCAGCAGGGAGUCACCAAGGGAGCCAGGCACAAGAUCGUCCUCAGCAUCCAGAAACUCAAGGAGAGGCAGACCGUCCUGCAGCAGCUCGAGAAGGACAUCCUUGAGCUGGGGAACCUGCGGAGCGCCCUGCUGGAGCUGAAGUCCAUGCUCAUCACCCCCAUCAAGCCUUACACCCCCCUGGCAGACUCCCCCUCCUCCGCAGACGAGGGGGCGAGGAGAAGUCCCCCCCGCCCUCCCCGGCCGCCACGACAGACGGCGAGUCGACCACGGCGCCCAUCCCUGAGGGGGACCUGCCGGGGCAGUUCACAAGGGUCAUGGGGAAAGCUUGCACACAGUUGUUGGUUUCUCGACCGGAUGACGAGAAUGUGAACCUGUAUUUGCAGCUCAUAGAAAAAACAUUAAACCACGAGGCGUUCACGAACACCCAGAAGAAGAGACUGUUGUCAUGGAAACAGCAGGUGCAGAAGCUGCUGAGAAACUUCCCCAGAAGGAGCAGCAUGGACAGCGGGAGACAGCCCAGAGGAUGGGGCCCCCAGCACGGUAACACCUUCCCCAACACCUACAGUAUGUUCGGCGGGGUCGGAUCCUUCGCAACAGCUGGUUCUGUUGCCGGGCAACGAGGACCACGCCCCCAGUUCCCGCGGCGACAGAGUUAUGGUGGCAGCAAGGUGGGCAUGAUGGGAGGAGGUCCCCCCGCCAACCUGAGAACGAUGAGCAACCCCACCGACGGACCCUACAGGAAGCAGGAGCAGAUGCAGAGAGCCCACGCCACAGUACAGAGAACAAAGUCGGCACCCGUCAGACCAUCACAGCCCUCCUUCAUGUUUCCUAGACAAGACUACUCGGUGGCUGCAGAUCCUACAGAGAUCAACAACCGACUGGAGUCCCUGUGUCUCAGCAUGACGGAACAUGCGUUAGCAGAUGGUGCUGAUCGGACAUCCACAUUCUGAAGAGUAGAGUCAGAACAAGACAGAAGAGAAUUAAGAGUAUAUAGAGAAGAUAUAGACCUAUAUGUAGUCAAGCCAGUUGACCUGCAAAGAAAAUGGAAACUAGAUCACCAAGAGUCUUGGUUAUACUGAGUUGUGUUCAACGUUUGCCCACGAUUUCUUCCACUGUUUGUGGGGCGGUAGGCCUUUGCCACUACCCACAUGUUAUCUCAAUAAUGUGUUUCUGGUAUCUAUCCCAUUGAUACAGAUUCAAGCAGUGUUUGUUACCAUUAUUGUGGAGAGGUGUGUGAACGUUUUGUAACAGUCUCAGUGAGACACAGUGGUUCUAUACAAGGACAAAGUCUUGCAGGCAAGUUUAUACUACGAUAAUGUCUUGUACGUGCAUCCCGCUUUCGUGUCCAGGCAAAUCCUGGCACCAGGAAAAAAUGCUGCAACUUUUGCUUCUGCUUUCUCGAGUGGUCUGAGGACAGACUGUGACUGAGGAUAUACGUUACGAACCUUGGCUGGGCAUGGCUGUCAAGUCUGUAGUCUGUGUACUGUAAUUCAUUUUAUGUUCAUGGUAGUGCUGCAUACCGGUUCACUGGACUUGGAUCCGGACUUGUAAAAAUGUUUAGGUUCAAGUCCAAA